rnacentral:misc_RNA from 1 species
GAUGAAGAACGCAGUGAAACGCGAUACGUAAUGUGAAUUGCAGAAUUCAGUGAAUCAUCGAAUCUUUGAACGCACAUUGCGCCCCCUGGUAUUCCGGGGGGCAUGCCUGUCCGAGCGUCAUUACAACCCUCAAGCUCAGCUUGGUGUUGGGCCCCGCCGCCCCGGCGGGCCCUAAAGUCAGUGGCGGUGCCGUCCGGCUCCGAGCGUAGUAAUUCUUCUCGCUCUGGAGGUCCGGUCGUGUGCUCGCCAGCAACCCCCAAUUUUUUUCAGGUUGACCUCGGAUCAGGUAGGGAUACCCGCUGAACUUAAGCAUAUCAAUAAGCGGAGGA